rnacentral:lncRNA from 1 species
UGUUUUUUUGGUUUUUUUUUUCAUUUGACUGUUUUAACUUCCCUCUUCCCUACAGAAUAUAGAAAGCACUCUGACCUAAUCCCUAGGUCCAAAGUAUAUACAGGUUACUCACAUGAAUGCUGAAAGCCAAGAGGGCAUUUAGUAAAAGCCCCCAGGACUGGCAGUAAGGCUCACUUGGCCCUUGCUUUCCAGGGCUCUGUAAUCAGGCUUUGCCAGCUUCAGGCAUUCCUCUUCAAUGUCCUUUGCAGGUGUAUCCUUGACCCCCCCCCCCCCCCCCCCCCCCCCACACACACACACAAGGAAUUCAUAUGCCCUGGACAGCAGCAGAUAUUUUAAAUUAUAAAGCCCUUUUACAUCCAGUUUCAAAAGAUCCUACCAAAUUUAGAGAGGAAUUAGAAAGACUCAUGACCAUUCACAAGCCCUCCCUCCCAUUCCCACCUCACCCUGGGGGAACAGGUGACUUCACUCACCUACAAAUGAUCUCUAGAAGGCCAACAUUCAGGGACUAACAGAAGCCAAAAUUGAACUGUGUACUUAGGAAAAAAAAAAAAAAGCUUCAUUAAAAUGUUUUAUAUGGACUUUUACAAAGGCAUAAAUCUUUUCAUUUCAUUUUAGUUAAAAAUCGUCCUGAACCACAUUUAGUUAAAAAGGUGGAUCAAACCCUUGAUAUUCAGGUAACAGGUCAGUUCUUGGGGGCAGGGGGGGGGGGCUGUUAAAAACAACCAUCUUGGGAUGCCUCACGACUGUCAAGGCCAUCGAAAACAAAGAAGUCUGGGAUGCCUGGGUGGCUCAGGGGUUGAGCGUUUGCCUUUGGCUCAGGGCAUGAUCCUGGAGUUUCAGGAUCGAGUCCCACAUCAGGCUCCCUUCAGGAAGCCUACUUCUCCCCCUGCCUGAGUCUCUCUCUCUCUCUCUCUCUCUCUCUCUCUCUCACUCUGUCUCAUGAAUAAAUGAAUAAAAUCUUUAAAAAAAAAUCUUUGGGAUUCCUGGGUGGCUCAGCGGUUGAGCAUCUGCCUUCAGCUCGGGGCAUGAUCCCAGAAUCUGGGAUCAAGUCCCACACUGGGCUCCCUGAGAGGAGCUCGC